GGUUUCAAUGGCUCCAAGCCCAGGUUGUCCACCAGCAGCGGUAGAUCACCACCAGGGGGCAGCACUAUGACGUCAGCUGCAACCCAAGAUUUUUAAAAUUACUGAUAGGCUGGUGUCUCAUUUACUGUGGCAGAGGUCUGAUCAUGAUGUUGCCCUGCCCACAGAGUUUGACUGAAUAAUAAUGGUACUGUAGCCUAGUGUUGUAGAAGCAGUACAAUGUUGAUUUGCUUCUGCAGUGCAUUCAUACUUAACCUGGGAUAAAAUGACAAGCAUGCAUUUUUGUUUCAUUUUCAAAGUUAGGCGACGAGGACAUGAUGAGGACAAGCACUGUCAAGUCCUCUUCAGCUCCAAUGAUUAUAUCCAGUGCCCAAGGCUCCACGUCUCUAUGCACCAUUCAUCUCAACACUAACCAAAUGGUGGCUUUGUAACAGUGAUUGUGGGAGGAUGCUGUGCAGGUGUCAACAUGAAUGUGCCGGAGGACUAGAGUAUGCUGGCGUCGACACACCACCUCCUCCCCUUCAGACUCCAGCGAAGGUUGGUCCCUGUCCUGUGAGGAGAGGAUGCAAUGGGUCUCUGCUUCAGCCGUGGCACCUUCUCUACAACCCUCGCCACUGUCACCAGUUUGUCCCCAUCCUGUGAAGGGGGGUAGGCUUUAGCCCCCUGCCUCAUCAAUCGGCAGGAUAAGCGCCCUCUUCUUUGAAACAGGACAUGUUUUAUUGAUGCUCUACAUGAGUAUUAUAUACAUGUAUAUAUACAGUG